rnacentral:rRNA from 1 species
UGGGAAUUUUGGACAAUUGGGCGAAAGCCUGAUCCAGCAAUGCCGCGUGUGUGAAGAAGGCCUUCGGGUUGUAAAGCACUUUUGUCCGGAAAGAAAUCCUUGGCUCUAAUACAGUCGGGGGAUGACGGUACCGGAAGAAUAAGCACCGGCUAACUACGUGCCAGCAGCCGCGGUAAUACGUAGGGUGCAAGCGUUAAUCGGAAUUACUGGGCGUAAAGCGUGCGCAGGCGGUUUGCUAAGACCGAUGUGAAAUCCCCGGGCUCAACCUGGGAACUGCAUUUGGGUGACUGGCAGGCUAGAGUAUGGCAGAGGGGGGUUAGAAUUCCACGUGUAGCAGUGAAAAUGCGUAGAGAUGUGGAGGAAUACCGAUGGCGAAGGCAGCCCCCCUGGG